rnacentral:pre_miRNA from 1 species
AGCCUUCUGUAUCCGUGUUGAGAUUUCGUCACACACCAGACCACAAAGAUUGGUGAGACUUACAAGCUAAGUGAAGCG